CACACUGGCACUGCGACACGGGCCAGACUCCUACGGGAGGCAGCAGUAAGGAAUAUUGCGCAAUGGGCGACAGCCUGACGCAGCGACGCCGCGUGGGGGACGAAGGUCUUCGGAUUGUAAACCCCUUUCGGGAGGGAAGAUGGAACGAGCAAUCGUUCGGACGGUACCUCCAGAAGCAGCCACGGCUAACUUCGUGCCAGCAGCCGCCGUAACAC
rnacentral:rRNA from 1 species